rnacentral:rRNA from 1 species
AGUGAACGCUGGCGGUAGGCCUAACACAUGCAAGUCGAACGGCAGCACAGUAAGAGCUUGCUCUUACGGGUGGCGAGUGGCGGACGGGUGAGGAAUACAUCGGAAUCUACUUUUUCGUGGGGGAUAACGUAGGGAAACUUACGCUAAUACCGCAUACGACCUACGGGUGAAAGCAGGGGAUCUUCGGACCAUGCGCGAUUGAAUGAGCCGAUGUCGGAUUAGCUAGUUGGCGGGGUAAAGGCCCACCAAGGCAACGAUCCGUAGCUGGCCUGAGAGGAUGAUCAGCCACACUGGAACUGAGACACGGUCCAGACUCCUACGGGAGGCAGCAGUGGGGAAUAUUGGACAAUGGGCGCAAGCCUGAUCCAGCCAUACCGCGUGAGUGAAGAAGGCCUUCGGGUUGUAAAGCCCUUUUGUUGGGAAAGAAAAGCAGCAGGUUAAUACCCCGCUGUUCUGACGGUACCCAAAGAAUAAGCACCGGCUAACUUCGUG